UCCGUAGGUGGAUAAUUAAGUCAGAGGUGAAAGUCUGCAGCUCAACUGUAAGAAUUGCCUUUGAUACUGGUUAUCUUGAGUUAUUAUGAAGUAGUUAGAAUAUGUAGUGUAGCGGUGAAAUGCAUAGAUAUUACAUAGAAUACCAAUUGCGAAGGCAGAUUACUAAUAAUAUACUGGACACUGAUGGACGAAAGCGUGGGGAGCGAACA
rnacentral:rRNA from 1 species